AGUGAACGCUGGCGGCAGGCCUAACACAUGCAAGUCGAGCGCCCCGCAAGGGGAGCGGCAGACGGGAGAGUAACACGUGGGAACAUGCCCUUCAGUACGGAACAACCAAGGGAAACUUUGGCUAAUACCGUAUACGCCCGUAAGGGGAAAGAUUUAUCGCUGAAGGAUUGGCCCGCGUCUGAUUAGCUAGUUGGUGGGGUAAUGGCCCACCAAGGCGACGAUCAGUAGCUGGUCUGAGAGGAUGAUCAGCCUCACUGGGACUGAGACACGGCCCAGACUCCUACGGGAGGCAGCAGUGGGGAAUAUUGGACAAUGGGCGCAAGCCUGAUCCAGCCAUGCCGCGUGAGUGAUGAAGGCCUUAGGGUUGUAAAGCUCUUUCGUCAGGGAAGAUAAUGACGGUACCUGAAGAAGAAGCCCCGGCUAACUUCGUGCCAGCCGCCGCCGUAAGAC
rnacentral:rRNA from 1 species